UUGACUGACUUGGGUCCUCGAAUGGAUUCGUGGGUCGGAUUCGCCGUGGGAAGGGACGUGGAGGAUCUCACAUUGGAUUUUUCCCUCGACAAGUUCAAUUACGAGCUUGAAUUCCUAGGGAUUGUCAAUUCGGUUGGUUACUAUUUGCCUCAAUUCUUGCACCACAAUUCUCGGUUGCGUAAUUUGAAGACCGGUUGUUGUGAGUUUGUGCCUGAUGGGAGAGUCUCAUGGUCAUCACUCAAGGAUCUGAGUAUAGGGCAUGCUGGUUUGACUGAUGAAGUGAUGCAAAAUGUUCUAGAUGGUACUCCUGUGCUUGAAACCUUGAAAUUGCUCUCCUGCGUUGGAAUUUAUAGGCUUGACCUAUCUUUGAAUUCUCAUUUGAAGGAGUUAGUGAUACAUGGAGUUGUUCUUUCUGAUGAAGAGGAUGAUACUGUGCUUGAAAUUUCAGGUCCUCACCUUGAGAUUUUGGAAAUUUUUGGUUUUGGUGUAAGAAGUGUAAAUUGAUGAAUAUGUUAUCUUUGAUCAGGACUAUCUUGGAUUUUCAAGGAAAAAAAGGAUGAUGGAUGUUCUGCUGCCUCCAUCGUUAAGUUGCAAAUGCUUAAUUCUUAAUGUUGACAGUUUCGGUAUCCAGUACCUCCCUGGGAUAGCAAGUCUACUUUGCUGUUCACAUAACCUACAUGAAUUGCUUAUAAAUAUGUGCCCUGUCAGAUGUCAUCAACAGUUCUAUGCUGAGUCAGACUUCACAGACAAUGAUGAUUUUGGGGAGAAUUGUUGGACAUCACAUCAGAUAAUUUUGAGUCAUUUAUGGUUGCAUCUCAAGACUAUCAGGAUAUCCGGCCUCAUGGAAACAAAAAGUCAUUUUACACGUGAACAUGUUUGGCAUUUCUUGGGUUUCUGCUCAAGAAUGCCAGUGUGCUGGAGGAGAUGAUUAUAUAUGGUUCUCGUCAUUGUCUUUGUAAAACAGAUGUUCUCAAUGUGGCCUUAAAAUUGAUAAGCUUCCCAAGGUGUUCUCCUCGUGCUCUGGUUUUGUUUCCCAACUGAUUCGCAAGUCCAGUAAAUUUAUAGUUCCGUUAUGUAAAACAGAAAAAAGAAAAAUUCAAAAUAACUUGUUUUGAGUGCUUGUAUGAUUUCAAUUAAGUUUAGCAGAACAGGGUAUCACUUUUUAAUUUCCAUUAUGUAAGAUUUAUGUGCGAGCAAAUCAGUUGCAGAUGUGGAAGUUAAAUUAGAGCCCAUUGAUUGUUUUGUCCAUCAGCUUAUGGAUAUACUCAGCCAUUGGACAGUGUCGCUCUAGUUCUUGAAUUCGCUGCGUGUCUUGCAUAAAUUGUAUGUAGAAGUAGAAGGAAUGGAUUUUACUUGUAUAAUUGAUCUUGUAGCAGCCUGAACUAGAGGACCAAGUAUGUUGAACCAGAGGCUAUCUUGUUGGUCGGUUCUACUCGUAUUUCCAAUGAAUCCACUGUAGACAUUGAGCAUGUAGUGCAGGCUGUAAAGCCUAACAGUAUAGUAGUUGCGCUUACUUUAGUUUACUUCUAUUUAUGAGCUUCUGAUUUGUUUAUUUAUGAUCAUGUCUAUUGGAUAGACUCAUUUCUGAAAUCUUAUUUUGUAUGGUUAAAUAUUUGAUGGCUACCCUAAAAGCUGCUAAUCUUAAAUACACUUGUUGUAGAGUCUGUUUACAGAGCUGGGAAUAGGUACAUUGGUAAUGAAGGGAAUGCUGCAAAAUAGCAUUGAAUUGUUUGUUCAUGUUAUAUUUUUGUUAAUUUUAUUUGCUAUAUAUUGACUUUGUAUAUUGAGCAGAUUUGGUUCUCUCAUUAUUGUAAACUUUACAAACUACUUGUUUGUAAAUGAUAUGUAGUUUGAUUUACUCUG